AGGGAAGUAGCUCAAUUGGUAGAGCAUCGGUUUCCAAAACCGAGGGUCGCAGGUUCGAUUCCUGUCUUCCCUGCCA
rnacentral:tRNA from 1 species